UGAGCAAUCUGCCCUUCUCUUUGGAAUAAGCGUGGGAAACCGCGUCUAAUGCCGAAUACGACCUCCUUUCGCAUGAUCGGAGGUGGAAAGCUCCGGCGGAGAAGGAUGAGCUCGCGGCCUAUCAGCUAGUUGGUGUGGGUAAUGGCCCACCAAGGCGACGACGGGUAGCCGGCCUGAGAGGGUGACCGGCCACACUGGGACUGAGACACGGCCCAGACCUCCUACGGGAGG
rnacentral:rRNA from 1 species